GGGUGGUGCUGUGAAAGCUGGUGGCACAGGAGCUGACCAGAGUUCUGCAGAACAGCACACCACAGCAGCAGCAGCAGCAGCAGCAGCAGGAGCAUUGUGUGAGGGAAGACACAGCAUGUUGAGGCAAGGCAGCAGCUGUGGAGGAGUGGACAGCUGCACCACUGACACCACCACCACUGCUCAAUGCUGCUACUACUACUACUACUACUACUACUACUGCUGCUGCUGCUGCUGCCUGCUGCUGCUGCUGCUGCUGUUCCUCUCCUCCUCCCAGCACAGAAAACAGACUGUGGGGUCCUGCCACAAUGCGGCUCCCUCCUGCAGGACAUGUUCUCGUCACCUUCAUGUCCUGGACGCGUGCAUAGACUUAUGCCUCGGUAGCCUGGCUGCAACAGACUGCAGCUGUGUGCUGUGCUGUUGCUGGCCAACAGGAGGGGGCGGGCAAGCUGGCCACCCUCUGCAUCACCAUCUGCUGGGGAAAGAAGAGCACCGUUGUUGUCAUCUUUGUUUUCCUUCUUUUUCCUUUUGUUUUCCUUCACUGUUUGCAGGGAAUGGUGGCAGAAUUUGUUGAUGUUGUUGUUGUUGUUAUCUGUUUGUUAUUAAAUGAUGUGUUCAUUGUGUUGUUGUUGUUAUUGUUGUUGUUUUGUGUGUGUGAUGAACAAAAGCAGUCUACAGUUA